rnacentral:rRNA from 1 species
GAGUUUGAUCGUGGCUCAGGAUGAACGUUAGGGGCGUGCCUAACACAUGCAAGUCGAACGAACAGCCAGAAUCUUAGGAAUCUGGCGGGUUAGUGGCGCACGGGUGAGUAACACGUAGGUGACCUGCCCCGAAGUGGGGACAACACUGGAAACAGUGGCUAAUACCGCAUGUGCUUAGCCAUUCGGUUGGUUAAGUAAAGCUGGGGCGCUUCGGGAGGGGCCUGCGGUCGAUUAGCUAGUUGGUGAGGUAAUGGCUCACCAAGGCGAUGAUCGAUAGGGGGCGUGAGAGCGUGACCCCCCACACUGGGACUGAGACACGGCCCAGACUCCUACGGGAGGCAGCAGUGAGGAAUAUUGCAC